AACUAUGGUCAUGCUACCCUGAACAAGCCCGAUCUCAUCUGAUCUUGUAAGCUAAGCAGGGUCGGGCCUGGUUAGUACUUGGAUGGGAGACCACCUAGGAAGACCAGGUGCAGUGGGCA
rnacentral:rRNA from 1 species